rnacentral:piRNA from 1 species
UUCGAGUUUUUAUUUUUUUCG